ensembl:lncRNA
UUUUGCCGCACAGCGCCCUGCAUGUCUCCCUCCACCAUGAAUGGAGUUGAAGUUCUCUAAACUCUCAUAAAACAGCGUCUCAGUCAUCAGGCAGUGAAUUCAGAACCAGUUCAUGUAGGAACUUUAUGUGAGGAGCUUUUAGAGGGGGACGUCUGGUUCCCAUCACCACCACUGUGAACAGCUUCCCUUUAACACACUCCAAACAGCACUUCGUGGGCUCUCAGGCUAAACCACAAACACUAAAGUGUUUUUUUUGUCUAAUUUAACUUCUGAGACAAAUACAAGCAAUGCAGACAUCUGGCCCUGUAGAGUCCGCUGUGCUCCAGCAGGGGGCGCUCACCGACACAGCUGCUCCUCCACAAAGCAUUCACGACAGGAAACGACCAGCGCACGCUGCUGUGUCUAAAGGUGCCCUGCGGUGUAUCGUGUCUGUCCGCGCCCGUCUGGACGGGGAGCCGAGCGGCGGCUGAAAUCCCCCAGCGGCUGCAGGCUGCCACACACGCUCUCCUGCGCUCCACACACACUCCGCACACACGCAGAUCCACACAGACAGGAGUCUCAGCAUAUGGCUGCGCCAGGACUCUGCUGAAGCUCUGACACGGGGAAAAACAUGGACAAACGGAGGAGAAGGGACAGUCCACCCAAAAAUGAGCUCCAUGCUCACUGCUCCCACACACACACGCGUGAUGGCUGCUGUUUGAGUGUGUGUUAGGGUUCUCACUGUCACUUAAAUUAGCACACAAGUAAUGGGACUGCUUAGUAGGAUAAACACACAAUGACACAGUAACGUACGUGAGCUGGACUCUGAACUAAUCACACUGUUACGUACAUUUACAGUCACUGUAGUCUGUACAGAAGCUUUUCCUACAGACAAAAUCAACACAUGACAACAAGUGUUCAGAUUACCGGCUGCCAGCAGGGUCAUUUGCAGGCUAAUCACAUUUGGCCAGAACUCUUUUAUUAGUGCGCUAGAGUCGCUUUGAAGGCCGUUAGCUGAUAAUUGCUGUGGGCCUAGUAAUCGUACUAUGGGCCGCUGAAGUUUAGUAGCGCUGUCUUUUUCAGCGUCUACUUUGAUGGUAGGUGAGUUGUUUUGCUACAGCGACACACAAUUGCGACCGACUUGGAAUUGAAAGUGAUUUGCUCCGCCCACACUGGCCUUUUUUUCCACACCUCCUCUGUACAUAUUCUCUGAAAAGCUACAUUUUCAUUGGCUCAUUUAAGUUUAAGGUUCUGUAGAACAUACACAUCAAUUUCAUACUAGACCCUGAGUCAUUUAUACUCAUAAUUUAUACUAAUAUACUAGAAUAAUUCAUACUGGAUACUGAAUAAUUAAUUAUAGACACUGAGUGAUUCGUACUAGACAAUGAAUAAUUAAUUGUAUACAAUGAAUAAUUCAUACCAGAUGCUGAAUAAUCCAUACGACAUACUGAAUAAUUCAUACUAGAUGCGGAAUAAUUAAUUGUAUACAAUGAAUAAUUCGUAGUAGAUACUGAAUCAUUCGUAGUAGAUAAUGAAUAAUUCAUACGAGACACUGAAUAAUUGUAUACAAUGAAUAAUUCAUACCAGAUGCUGAAUAAUUCAUAUGAGACACUGAAUAAUUAAUUUUAUACAAUGAAUAAUUAAUACUAGAUACUGAAUUAUUUGUACUAGAUACUGAAUAAGUCAUACAAGACACGAAAUAAUUCAUAUUAGAUACUUCAAAGCAGAUGCUGAAUAGGUCUUAAGAUUAGUAACUGAAGUAUUUGCCUGGGAUUUGAAACGACUUUACGGUGUUUAAUAACAAUAAUAAUAGUUGUGGUCUCAAGGUCUUAAUUUCUUAGUUGACGAUUUUUAAUCUGGUUUAAGUUUAAUCAAGUAAUCGUGACAGCCCUGGUAUGACUGAGUGAGUGAGCG